rnacentral:rRNA from 1 species
UACGAAGGGGGCUAGCGUUGCUCGGAAUCACUGGGCGUAAAGGGUGCGUAGGCGGGGCUUUAAGUCAGGGGUGAAAUCCUGGAGCUCAACUCCAGAACUGCCUUUGAUACUGAAGAUCUUGAGGUCGGGAGAGGUGAGUGGAACUGCGAGUGUAGAGGUGAAAUUCGUAGAUAUUCGCAAGAACACCAGUGGCGAAGGCGGCUCACUGGCCCGAUACUGACGCUGAGGCACGAAAGCGUGGGGAGCAAACAGG